AACAAAUUAACCAAAAUUAAUUAUUUGGACCCAAGUUUUUGUUUUUUAUUUUUGAAUUUUCUCUAUCUAUUGGGGUCCCUACCACUGAAUUUUGGAUAUAAAUCAUAAACAGUAGUCCAAAUUUUAGUGACGGCCAACCAAAUUUUUAUGAUGUUAAAAAUCCACAGAAUUAUUAUUUGUUUGUUUUCAUUUUCAUCCACAUUUCUCUGUCCUUUGAAAGUAACAUAUAUUAUUAGUUAUGUUUACUGUUAUAUACGUGGAGAAAAGACAACGCAAUUUGGUGGGAGAUUUAAAAUUACCUUGACCUAGGACAUUUAAUUCCUAGUAGUGUGGAGGUGGCGGUGGCGAUGAGUAGUAAUAAACGGGAGGUGGUGGGGAAUGGUAUACUGGUGGUGGUGGAGAAUGAUAGACCGGAGGUGGUGGGAGUGGUAUACUGGUGGUGGUGGAGAGUAGACGGGAGGUGGAUAGUAUACUUUCUUUGGUGGUGGUGGAGAGUAGACGGGAGGAGGGUAGUAUACCUUCUUCGGUGGUGGUGGAGAGUAGACGGGUGGUGGGUAGUAUACCUUCUUCGGUGGUGGUGGAGAGUAGACGGGUGGUGGGUAGUAUACCUUCUUCGGUGGUGGUGGAGAGUAGACGGGUGGUGGGUAGUAUACCUUCUUCGGUGGUGGUGGUGAGUAGACGGGGGGUGGGUAGUAUACCUUCUUCGGUGGUGGUGGUGAGUAGACGGGAGGUGGGUAGUACACCUUCUUCGGUGGUGGUGGUGAGUAGACGGGAGGUGGGUAGUACACCUUCUUCGGUGGUGGUGGUGAGUAGACGGGAGGUGGGUAGUAUACCUUCUUUGGCGGUGGUGGUGAGUAGACUGGUGGUGGGUAGUAUACUUUCUUUGGUGGUGGAGGAGACUUAUAGACGGGUGGUGGAUAGUAUACCUUCUUGGGAGGUGGGGGAGACUUGUAGACUGGAGGUGGGUAGUAUACCUUCUUUGGUGGUGGAGGAGACUUAUAGACGGGAGGAGGGUAGUAUACCUUCUUGGGAGGUGGGGGAGACUUGUAGACGGGAGGUGGGUAGUACACCUUCUUGGGAGGUGGGGGAGACUUGUAGACGGGAGGUGGGUAGUACACCUUCUUGGGAGGCGGGGGAGACUUGUAGACGGGAGGUGGGUAAUACACCUUCUUAGGUGGCGGAGGAGACUUGUAGACGGGAGGUGGGUAAUAAACCUUCUUGGGUGGCGGAGGAGACUUGUAGACAGGAGGUGGGUAAUACACCUUCUUUGGUGGUGGUGGAGAGUAAACUGGUGGUGGAUAGUAAACCUUCUUGGGUGGUGGUGGAGAGUGAUACACUGGAGGUGGAUAGUAUGAUUUCUUGGGUGGUGGAGGAGAAUGGUAUACUGGAGGCGGGUAAUAUACCUUCUUAGGUGGAGGAGGAGAAGCGUAGAUAUAAUUAGCAUUGGUAGUGGACGGCAGAGUUAGGGAAAGGAGAGCAACAAAGGCAGCAAAAAGAAUAGGAGCCAUUGAAGAUCCCAUUUUUCCCAUCCUUGAAUGGAUUGGUGGGUUUUUAACACUGCCUUUCCUCCCCUUUAUAUAGCUUUGUCCUUUUACCCACUUCACUCACUCAAACCCCCCUCUCAAGUCUUAACAUAAUGAUCACCGGUGAAAUCUAAUUUAAUUACUCCACCUAAUUUUUUUUUAAUUAAAAACCAUGAAAAUCAUAUAGACAUGCACACAUAUUAUUGUCGGUAGAUGACAAAGAUAGUUAAAAUAAUAUUAUGUGUUGUCAUCAUGUUUGGACUAAUUUUAUAUAACCUUCCACCAAGGAUUUUACCUUUUCAAUAUAUACAUAUAUGUGUGUAUAUCUGACAUUAAAGAUGUGAGAUAUUUUUGUUCAUCAGGGUUGCUUAAGCUGAUAAUAAACACAUAUAUAGUUAAAUUAAUCUUACAUACACCAACAGUGUUACUAGUUAGAUAUGUAAAUAAAUUUAUAUAAUUAAAGUUACUCAAAAUCUCAAAAUGAUGUUAAUAAUUGGUGUAAUAUAAAAAGUAAUUAGCUAGAAAGAGAAAGAAAUAAUUAAAUUGAAAAUAUAAUUUGGUGAAUUAGUGUUGGAAUUAGGAGGAGGGGUUGAUGGGAGUGGGACCCGGCGGCUUGACUUAUUCUUCAUCUAAUUUUUAAGCUUUGAGAAUGGGAGCGAUGGUCCAUUUUGUAGGGUUGCUUUCACUGUUACACAAUUUGCAUGGCCUUGGCGUUUACUCCUACGUUUUUCUGUGGGCGACCACUGGGGUUCCUAUUCAAAUACUUCCUAUCUAUACUUUUUCUUUUUUCUUUUUGUUCUUUUCAUUUUCCUUUUUUCUUCUUUUUGAAUCACUUCUCUUCUCAAAUUCCUUUCCUUUUGUAAUGUAUACUACGUGAAUGAGACCAUAAUUCAACCAGACAAAUAAGUUCUUAGUCUGAAUAUGUAAAAAGCAUCUAUAUCUUAUUCUAUUUAAUCUACGUGCUAUCGUUUACACAAUUUAUAACUUACAUAUACUAUGCAUUAACCACUUGAACAUGUAUGUGUCAAAAUUAUAUUUUUUUGUUAAAUUGUGUUAGAAAUAUUUAAAUAAUAAUUUGAGAACUUGAAUAUAGACUAUAAAUUACAAAUUUAGUUUUUUGGAUUUUAAAACAUAUAUAAUGAGUCUUUUUAAUCAUGCUACAAAACAAUUCGUUAUAUUAUGUUUCUUAAGAAUUUACUAAUAUAUUAUAAACAAAAUUUAAAGUUACUAAUAUAAGACAUUGUUAAUCUUUUCAAUACAAAUUAAAACUUAGUAACAUAUUCUAACUUUAAUCUAAGAAAUAUGAUGGAACAUUUUUAAAAAUAACAAAAUGAACAAUUUUUUUCUUUUACAAAAUAUAAUAAAACUCAAAUCUACCGGAAAUUAUUAGUAUUUAUAAGUUAUAUGGAUAGAAAUAAUGUAAAUUUAUAUUUUAUAAAUAUUUUUGUUAUUUAUAAUAAAUUUUUAAACAUAAUUGAUAUAUUUUUCUAAAAUAAAUUCGUGAAUGAAAGAAAUAGAAUGUAAUUAGAUUUUAAGAGGGUCUAGAUUCAUUUACAUACCCAAAGGUGAAUUAUUGAGGUUGGAGUCAUUCUACACUUUCAAAAUGUUUAAUUUAAAAAAUAAAUUAUUUGGAAGAAAAUUAGAUUAUUAUUUGGAAGCUACUAAAAACAGUUUUUUAAAUAUAUUUUAAGCAUUUUUAAAAAUAAAUUUAAACAAACAUAAGUUUCUUACAAAAUAUUUUUUUCUUAUGUUAACCUAAGAGACUAUAAAUCUUUUUGUCUUUAUGGUAGAUUGGUUCUUCCUUUUUGGAAUAAUCUAUUACAAUAAAUGAUUUAAUUUAAUGUUUAAUUUAAUUUGAAUUGAUUAUUUAUGUUCAUAUCAAAUAGAAAAAUAAAACCUAUUUUUCCAAUAUAUGCAUUAAAAACCUCUGAUUUUUUUGUUUGCUUCAUUCCAACUACUCUAAGCUCAACUUUUAUUUCCUCUUCCUACUUUCUCAAUUUAAUUUACCUAUCAACUCCAAUUACAUAAUGGUGCCCACAAAUACUUUUUCUAUUCUUUUUCCCCAAGGAAAUUAAUAAAAUGUUAUGUUGUUAAUUAAUAUAUAUGGAUUCCAUCAAAAUAUGAGUUAUCAAGGUAAGAAUUUGACCGUAAAUUUAUAUAUACAUUUUUUAUUUGUUGUGAUUGUGAUAUCCUCAACCAUAUUUUUGAAAGAAAAAGAUAACAUAUAUUUUCAAAUAUAACGAAAUAAAUCAAAAUAUUUACAAAAUAUAAAAAAAAAAUUAUAUAUCAUUAUAGUUGAUAUUGAUAGACAUGGAUAUAAAUUGUCUAUUAGGUGUUUAUCAUUAAUGUAAUAUAAAAUUUUGGAGAUAAUUUUAAUAGUUUUAUCCUAGUCCAAAAUUAAUUCCCAAUUGAGGCAUCACAAAAUGGAAAUUUUCUUCCUAAUAAGUCUACACUUACAUUUAAUAAGGUUGAUAGACAAGUUGAUCUGAUUAGGUGACAUUCAUAUACAUAUAUAUGAUCUAGACUAUAUAUUAAUAUUAAUGAGGGUAAUUUUAUUAGCCACUUAUUAUUAUAAAUCAAAACUCUUAAAUAAAAAAGAAAUUAAAAAUGAAAGAAAAAAAACGAAAAAUUAUUAGUUUAAUUUUCGAAAAUCAAAUCUCAAUGGUGAAAGUGGAAUGAACGUCUCAGCAUACAGUGUGCAAAUUAAUUUGCGAAUGAAUGUUGCUUUUUAUGAUCAAGUCUUGAUUCAAUUUACUUGGAUCAAUAGCUUUAUUCAAAUUUUUGAAUUUUUUUUUCGAUAGACUAUAAGUUAUAACAUUAGAGUGAGAACAGAUUCAAACCUACAAUAUGCUCAAAUUAAAAUUAAAAUUGUAUCAUUGGAAAAUAUCUAUUUUUAAAAGCAUUUCAUGUUUUUUCUUUCCUUUCCUUUGGAUUGUGUAAGUCAUAUAUAGUUUAUUGUGUAAGCAAUACUUUUAUACACUUUUCUUUCAUAAUUGAAACGACAAUGAUGUAAUGAUAUAUGUUGUAUUAGGACAACAAAUUUUUUAAAUAUUUCUACCGUGUAUAGUAUGAUAUUGUCCACUUUAUGUAUACAUCUUAAUAGCAAAUUUGUAACCAUUUAUUUUUUAUAUGUCAUACAUUAGUAUUUUAGUUUUGAUGGUGAAAUAUUUUAUCAAAAUGAAAUAUAGAUAUUAAUCACUUAACUAUAUACUCAUUGAUAUUUAAUUGAUUUUCACUCAAUUUUAGUUACAGAAGCAGGAAGCUUUGUUUAGGACUUAAAUCAUUACCACUUUUAAACUACAAAGGAUCGUUAUAAUACUACACAUUAAAGAUUAAACUAAAUUUAUACAAAUUGGUAAGUAUAGAAACUAAAUUAUCUACAUCCUUACAAUUUAAGAUCAAAACAGUUAUUUAAAUAAUAUUAUUACAUAACCUAACAAUAAUUGUUAGGGUUAAUGGUUAGAUCAUAAAAGAAAAUUGUAUGUGAAGAUACUAACCAAAUUAUGAUCCAGGCCUAUAAAUAUAGAUGAAAUUUCAAACUUCCAACAUUUUUUUCUAGAGUUUCUGUAUUUUUUUCUAGUUAAACUAUAAUCAAGGUUACAUAUGAGCCAUCAACUAUAUAUAUAUAAGAGAAUAGAUUAAUUAAUUAAAUUUUUGUGGGGAGUGUACGUAUGCACGUAAGAAUCAUAUGGUAUUUUGACAUUGAAUAUUUUUGUGUUGGGUGUGAGUUGUUUAAAGUGGGAGUAGGUGAGAAAUAGUUCAGAUACGUAAGUAAAAGAUAUGUUGGGUUUGGGUUAGGAAAAGUUGUUAGCUAAUCAAAUCAUUUUUAGCCAUUCAUAUGUGUUCAAUAUUAUUGGAGGAUUCUAUAACAGUGUGCUAGAAAUCAAACACAAUAGAAACUAUAACAAUCUUAUCUUAUCGGAGUUAGCUAGAUAUAAUACGAUUUGUUGUAUGAUAAACGAACUUACAAUAUAUUUUUAAAUCGAUGUAUGUAUGAGAAACGCAAUAUAUUAAAACAAUUUUUCUUUGUUUAAUUAUAACUUUUGUCAAAUGGAAAGUUAGGGUUUAGGACAUACUGCCCACAAUAUGCCUAAGCUCUAAAUUUUAAAAAUCACAAUGUGAGAUGUAAGACAAUUCAAUCGAAUAUUUAAAAGAUUAGUAAAAGCAAAUAAACGAUAUAUUUACGAUAACUCAAUUUAUUUAACAUUUUUUUUAUAGGUUUUCGAAUUCAAUUCAACUUUUCACUUAGAAAACGAACAUUCUAAAUUCACAAAUAACUCAACUAGUAAAUAUAGAUAAUAUAUUUAGUAGAUAUUUUAAAAAUUGUGAAAUGAUAAAACGAAGACGAUGAAACUACAAAUAUAAAUAUCAAAAUAAUAAUAUUAUCGUGAUAAAAGCAGUACAAACUACAAAUGAAUAAGCUUAUUUAUUCAUUUGUUUGAACUUAUUGAUUUAUUUACUAUCACACUUUUUCAUAUCUAAAAUGAAUAAGUAUUAUAAGAUACACCUGUUUAUAUAAUCUCCAUCUGUCCAUAAAAAUUAAAAUAAAAUGAACAUUUUAAUCUGAUUUAUGUGCGAUAGAGAGAUAAACGACACAUGGAUGGAUACAUGUACAUGAACACAAGUGUUCUUUGGGAGGAAUAUUAAUGCACAAUUGGUUUAUCUAUCCCAUUCUCGGAUGUUUCGGUCAAACCCUGUGACUUGGCGCCUAGUUGGACGGAUUUCCGCUUUUAAAAAACCAAAAACAAUGCUAUUUGGUUUAAUUUAAUCAAACUAUUAUUCGCCUACGCUUUUUUUUUUUUUUCAUCUCUCUACUUAGCUAUCAACUUCAUUUUAAAAGUGGAGGGCGAAAAUGCCAAACUUUAUAAAUUUGUUUUAAACGAAAAUUGCUAAAAAAAUUAAAUAUAUCGUGAUAAAUUUUACUAUAUUAGUAGAUAUUUUAGUUUAUAAUUAUAAUAUUACAUUUAAAAAUGAAUUCUUUAAAUUUUGUGGAAAAAUAUAAUAUAAUUUUAAUCUAUUAAAUUGCAGGAAGAUUGAAAAAUAAAUUGUUAGUCUAGUAUUAUCCAAAUUGAAAAACUUAAUUGAAAAAUUUUGAAAAAUUUAGAGAUUAGAGAUAUAUAUAACAUUCAAAAUAUAUAAAUAAAGGUAUGUAAUUUAAUAUAAAACAUAUAUGAAGACAGAGAAAUGCAUGAAAAAGCAAUCAUAUCACAACUCACAAAAUUAAAAAGACACAAACCAAAAGAGAAAAAAAUCUUUUAAAAGGAAAAUUUAAAUGAAGAAAUGAAGAUUGGAAUGUGCACUAACAAUUAAACUUCUUGAUCGGAUUGGAAUAUGGAAGAUAAAAAAAAUAAUAUGCAUACGAUAUUGUUGUGAUUAACUCUCAAUUAAUUAAUAUAUAUCACAGGAACCUGUUAGUCAAUGAAAUCCAAAUUGUUUUCUGACCCUCAAUAUGAACGUAUGACAUUUUGGCCCUUAAGUUAUAAUAUAUAAUGAGCAAUAGUUAAUUUAUUAAAAAAUAAAACCAAUAAUAAAAAAAAGAUAAUAGCGUAGAAAGUUGAAAAAAAAUAAUGAUAAAAGGAGUUGUUAAUUAAUGAAUUUGUCAAAUGUGUAUCACAUUUAAUAUUUUAAAAAAUUGACAUGUUUGGUCACCAUAUAUUUGAUUCUUGAGGACAUGUACUAUAUUAUUUUUUUAGAAGCAAUAAUUCUAUAUAAAAAUUGUAUUAAAUGAAAAAAUGGUUAAGAAUAUUUUAAAAUAUAGUAAAAAAUUUAUUAGUGAAUGAUAAUAUAUAGCCGUAAAUAUUUAAAAAUGAAUAUAUGUUAAUGUAAGAAUUGGUAUUAUCUUUGCUACCAAAAUUGUAUUGUUUGAAAAUAGCUGUCAAAUUUAUUGUUUACUACUUGUUCAAUCUCUUAUCCAAAAUUAGGUCCAAUGGUGACUCAGGGUCAAAUUGGCCAAUAAAUGUAAUAUAUUCUUUUUCUUUUUUAUAAAGGCGAUAAUAUUAUUAAUUAAUAUGAGGUAGAUACAAAUAUAAUUAAAUUUAGUGUGAGAUCAUUAUGAGAUGGAUCAUUGCUCACACAACUGGGUUUGAAGUUUUAAUUACUUCUUCUCCCACUUAUAUUAAUUUAAUUUUGUAUAUUCAAUCUUCUUUUAGUUAUUUAAAAAGUGGAAGUAGUGAGAUGAAAUUCUCUAAACAUCACCUUCGAAAAUAGCCAUUAAGAUGAAAUAGCAAACAAAUAUUGUUUAAAAAUAUGAAGUUAUCGAAAAUGAUAUAUAUAAAAAUAUUUGGAACUUUGCAAUAAUAGGUUUUUUCGUAUUAAUGUGAGCAUAACUCUCAAAUGUGUACAUUUCAAAUAUUAUCAAUUGUAUCUCAAGAUUUAUGGUUAGACUUCUUAGCAACUAUUACCCAUAUAUAUUUGUUUUGAAAGAAAUAUUCGAACUUACAACAUUUAUUUUUCAAGUUCAAGUUGAUGUAUGUUAUUUAAAUGAAACUAAAACUUUUAGGUUUUUAACCAAUCUUUCAAUCUAUGGUUUUCAAGUUUUCUAAUGAUAGAUUUAUACUUUAGUUUAACUUUUGAAAAUAUGAAUAGAAAGUAAAUCUGUUAUAUAUAAAAGUAGUAAAUUAGGUGUACACUAACUAUGUUUCAAAAAGAGAAAAAAAGAAAAAAUUAAAAGAGGGUUUAUUAACUUUAAUUUUCAAAAAUUAAAAGAAAAUCAAAUACUUAAUAAAUAAAAAUAAGAUGGUUUUCAAAUGAACAAAAUGAAUCAAACUCUAACAAAAUUUCAAAAUUUAUAAACUUUUAGAAUAUUUCUAUCAGAUAAAUUAUAAAUCAUCUAAAAGUUCAGUUUCCUAUUAAUUAAACAAGACAUUAGAUCUAAUUAAGUUAGGCAGAUAUUAAAAUAAAGUUUGGGCACCGAAUAAAAUAUCCACCAAAGUUGUUUCCAAAAUCAUCAUUAAAAUAAAUUUUACUGGAUCUGCCUAACUUAAUAUUAAAAGAAAGAUUCAAGAUGUGAUAAAAAAUGAAAUUAAACUAUUUGUUAAAAACCAUUUCCCUUUUGACUUUAUUUUAGAUCUCAUCAUUUAUCCAGCUUUGAUUUUUUUAUUUUUUCAAUUUUUAUGUGAGAAAGACACUCAAUAAUUGUUUUCAAAUACAAACAAAUUACAAACUAAAUAACUCCAAGUUGUGGAGGCUGCCAAGACUUUCAUGGGAGGUGUCAAAUAUAUAUGUGAUUGAAUUUGAAAAUUAUUUAAAAUAAAAAAUUGUUAUGGAUAGUAGAAAAGAAUUAUAACUACAAAGUAUAGUCUUUAAUUUGAUAAUUUUUUCGCAAUAUUUAAAAAUGUAGUCAUUCUUCUUAUCUUAUGUCAUAUUGAAAUAUUAUUCAGGUAAAAAACAACAUUCUCUAUUUUCUUAAAUGAAUAAUUUGUUAGGUAUUAGAAAUACUUUUUAAUUGGAUAUACCAAGGAAACACUAUUCUCCACUUAGCGAUACAUAGCAAUGUUGAUGUCAAAAUUUCGUCAACAAAUAUUGGUGUGACCUUAGUUUGGCAACAAUGGUGAAUUUGUAAUUUUGGGAUAAGUUGAUCUGCAAAAAUCCGAAUAAGGUUGGGCACACUGAUGUGGUGUAAACUACACUGGUUUCGGUACUUAGUAAGUUUACAAGAAAAUCUGUAAUGAAAGUAUAAUCAAAUGCACAUAAGACAACGUACCUUCUUUGUGCUUCCAUCAUCCUUCUAUUUAUAAGGUCCUAUCUUUUCUUUUCACAGUAGGUUUUCUUCAAUCGUCAUCCAUGUUAGCUUUCGAGAUCUGGACCCUCCUUGACCCAAAGUUGAGCCUUCCAUUAUAGGUGUCGGUUAAUUUCCUGUAAUGACCCAAAUUUUUAAUAACCAAGCUGGAGUCAUUACUAAUCUAAUUAUCUUUAACUUUCUAAAAACAAUAACGGAAGCAUAAACCAAGUAGUUCCUAUAUGGCUAGUCACAGGUUCUUCUUCUUGUCGCUCGUUAGCUUGCCUUUCCUCUUACCUUUGUCUGAAAAGUUAAACAUGAAAAUGGUGAGUAUAAAUAUAGUACACACAGUAAGGGAUUCACUACUGGUCUUGCUAGGUAAACCGAUAACUUCCUAUUAGGAGGUACCCUGAGUCGUCAUAUCAGUCUAGUGAUCUCGUAGGAACACAAAUCAGGCAUCAAGUGAACCUAAACGUACACUUAACAGUCAAUCAGUCAUCAAUAUCAGUCUAAAGGUAGUGAUCUCGAGGGACUUCGUACAUGUGCAGAGUACACUAGCCUAAGAACUAAAGGUAACAACUACCAUUAGACCAAAUAGGCAUAUUGCAAUCAAACUUAGUCUAAUAAUAGGCAUAAACAUAACAUGCAAUAUCAACCAACAAACUUCAUAGUUACGUAUUCAGUAAAAUAAAUAAAUCAAUACAAUUUUUGUCAAACUCUCACAUAAGACUAUCAAUGCAUUUUAAUUAUGUGCAUGUUAGUCAAUCCAUACAAUACAACUUAAAUCUUAAAUCGAAGGUUCGGUAGUAGAAAUCUCUUACCUCAAAAUAGAAUUAAACUCCUUUGCAAAGUUCCUUGAUGCAAAUCAAACCACAAAUUAACCUAAACAUAAGUAAAAUAAUUAAUAAUUUUACUUAACAAAAUUAUCAAUUAUGGUCAAAUAGUAAUCCUUGAUAGGCAUGCAAAAAGCAUCGUACUUUUUACCGUAAGCAUUCCUAAGUUACCACAGGUUACUCAAAUUCAUUGCACUUUACACAUUCCACGAUAGCCUUAGACCAAACCAAUUACUACCCUUAAUAAACUAUCAGUAACUCAUAAUUAAGUCAAUAGUUAUCCAUCACAAUUAUUACAGUAACACAUAGGAUAUGCAAAUAACUCUCCAUAACAGUUAUCAAAGUACCCCAUAAGCCAAAUAAACAAUUCAUCAACAAUGGACUUGCAGUAAACUAAUUGACAACAUACCAUAUUAGUAAUCCAUAGUAGGCAUGUAAACAAUCAUCAUACUUCACAACCAUCAGAGUCUAAUUCACAACAUACUAUAUCAGUAAUUCAUAAUAGACAUGUAAAUAAUUAUCAUACUUCACAACAAGCAUAGACAAUUUCCAUUGUAAGCAUACGCAAAUAAUUAUCUUGUACACCUUAACCUAAUUCAAUGACUACCCUUCACAAUUUAAUUAAAGCUAACCUUAGGUUAUACAGAUAAUUCACCAUUACAAACAUAUCACAGACUAUGCAUAAAGUCGUAUCACCAUUAAUUAUCACAGCGUAACUGAACCCUUAAUCGAGUAUCCAGUAGUAGAAUAACUCUUACCUUAGGUUAUGCUAAGUUCCUUUGUUGCAAAUGAAAACCACAAUUUUACUUAUGCAUAACCAAAAUUAAAUUAACGAUUUUCAACAAAUUACUAAUUUAAUUACCUUAGCUUACCAAAUGGAAGUUGAAAAUGCUCUCAAUCUUGAUGGAAAAAUUCAUCACUUAAAUCCAUGUUUUUUCAAAGGGACCUUCCAAACGUAUGCAACCAAAAUCAAUUUUAAUAAUAAACUUAAUUUAGAGUUUCUCAAUUCACUUUUAUUGGGUAUUAAAAUCCUACACAAAGACAAAAAACACUCAAGCAACUCACCAAUCUUAAACCAAAUCGGUGAGCAUGAUGACAGACAACACACAACUCAUCCAGAUGAGGUUGGACGAAGAAGAAAGCGAUAUCGAAGAACAACGAAGAAGAAUUAAGGGAGAGAGUUAGCAACUCGAGUACGUUGGGGAAAAAGAUGAAUAUAUUUUGUGCUUUCAUAGAUAAUUAACGCAUGAACCCUAAUUUAUAACGAAAUAAUAAUAAAAUCAAUAAUACUUUAUUAUUAUUUAAUUCUUUUUCUUGAAAUAUACAUAUUUAUCUACAUUCCCUUCUCUUCCAUAAUUAAUUCCAUCUUUUUACAAAAAUUAUAUUUCAAUAUAUAAUUAUAAAAAAUUUCCACUAAUUAAUUAUAAAACCAAAACUAUAUAAUUAAUAACAUACACCACCAAAUUCCAAAAUCUUUAAUUAAAUAACAUACUCAUGUAUUUAUACUUAAUCAAUCCAACACAUAACCAAAAUAAAUUCCUUUAACUUUUAAUUCCAAUUAAUCUAACAUCCAUAAUAAUCAAAUAUUAAACUAUUCAACACAAUUAAAUUAAGUAACAAAAUUACUUAAAAUUUUUGAAUGCUACAUUUCCUUUGUUUAUCGUAGCUUGGUUCACCUCGUUUGUCAUUGCUUUGAUCCGUCCUUCCUACCUUGUAGUGACUUUAUAAGAUUUUACACUUGGUUUUAGACUUAAUAAGAUUUUUUCUACGCAAUCACUCGAAUGCUACACUUUUUAGUCUAAAUAGUACGUACGUAAAAUAGAGAUUCGAAUCUUUUAAUAUUUUGAUUUUCCAAAAAAAUAUAAUGCAUGACCUUUUUUUAAUAUUUUAGUUGGUUUAAUUUUCUACUUUUUGUGUGUGUAAAUACAUUUUAAUUAGUAUUCUACUUAGUGUUGAGAUCAUCCUAUACCAGUUAAACUUCUUUUUAAAAUAAGAGAAAAAAACCUUUUCACUCAUCACACUUAGGUCUUGAGAGUGAAAUCUUCUGUCUUCAAGUAAAAAAAAAUCAUUCCAAAUUAGGAAAGGAUAGUUUUUUAUUUUCAUAUAAUUAAAUCGUUAUGAAUUAUUUUUAAAAAAUAUCAUUCAAAACUUUUAGGAAUUUUUGUUGAUCUAUCUUAUGGCGAUGGACUUUUCUCUCACACGAAGAAUUUUUCAAUAAGAUAUUUUUAAUUACUUUAUCAACAAGAUUCUUCAAGAUCUUUUACCAAAAUCUUUAAAGAUCGAUGGUAAGUGUAAAAUCCUUGAAGAUUACUUUUCCAAUUCCGAUUUUAAGUUCAUCAAACUCUAUCUAUUAAAAGAAAUUUUCUUUAUCUUUCGAGGAAUGAAAUUAGGCACAUCGAACAAAGAACUAUAGAAAAACCCUAAUCAGAAGGUAAGACCUUAAUAAUUGCUUGUUUUCAAUGAUCUAAAUCAAUGAAAACUGAUAAUCUUCUAUAGGUUCAAAUAUCAAAGUCAAGGGAGUCUGAUCUUUGGUAAAUAGUACCAAUAAAAUCUAGAGGAAGUCAUCUAAAUUAACGUAGCUUUCUUGCAAUGUUAUACUAAUUUGAGUCUCGAUCAACAAAUCUCUUUAUCUAGUCUCUAUAAAUAGGUAAUAUUCAUCAAACAUGGUCAAAUUUGCGGUGUUCUUUUUACUUUCGAUUUCCUUAACUAAUAAUCUAGCAUUUUAAUUAAAGUAACGAUUCAAAAGUAAAAUAUAUAAUCUAUUUUACUUUUUCAUAACUUUAGACAUGCACGUUUUAAUUUUAAAGCAUUAAGACAUGAGAAUCUUAAAAAGGAUUAACAAAUUGAAAAAAAAAAACGCAAACGUGUUUACAAAUUUUAAUAAAGAUCGAACUAGUGGUUAUGUGUUCAUAUAUAUCAUUCAUUUACUUUUGUUUGUAAAUAAAUUAUAGCAUUCAUAUAAUUUUAUAGAACAAUCACAAUUAUAACAAUCUCAAAAUAUUUCUCAUAUUUAUUAUACAUUAAUGGCUACGCCAAUAAUAACUCUUUGAUCAUGGUUUCAUAUUGCUACUACUCAACUAUAACAUAUAUAUUUUUAGAAAAUUAACCUGAUAAAUCAUUGUUUAUAGAUGUGAUAUAUGCAUGUUAGGAAAUGUGGAGCCAAAACUCCAAAGCCUAAAUUUUGUCUCAACCCAUUGAUUUCCUUAAUUCAUAAGUCUAUUUUUGAUUGGCUAAUUUGGAGGUGAAUUCUUUCCAAAAGAAAUAAUAUUAGGGUUAACUAAAAAGUAUUUACUACCUAUGUACCAUGAAUAAAAGUUGAUGAAGUCAUCAUAUUAUUGUAUUUAAAUAAAUUUUAAAUUUAUCCUUCUUGGUUUUGAAUUUCACAUUGAAUAUGUAUACACGUCUUCAUAUUAUUUCAACUCGAGGGCGAUCUGAUAUAAUUUUCGGUGUUAUCUUUUUCCCCUAUGCUUUAUUAUUUGCAAUUUUAUGAUCUAUUGCUUAUUUAGUUCUAAUUUGUGAAGUGGAAAUUUGAUAUAUAAUUUGGUUUGUUUCUUGUUUAUUUAUAUCUUGUGUAAAUUUCCAAUAAUGCCCUCUUUGAGCUUAUUGAGUGUCAAUUAGAUACAAAAAAAAAUUAGGCAUGUCACGUAAGGAUCUCUAGAAUUUAAUGCUUUUUGGAAAAUUCAAUAUUGCAUGCUUAAUCGUAUUGAUUAAAACAAUAAGAACUUUGGGACAAUUUAGUUAUAUGAAGUAAUUGAAUUGUUUAGGUGAAGAUUCCAUGUAUUUAAGUAAUUAUGAUAGUUCGAUGAAUGAAUUCUUUGAAUAAGGGAGAAAGAUAUCACAAUCCAAGUUAGAUUCUUUGACAAUACAAUUUUCUUUGGUUUGCUUUCUUUCACUAAAAUUUACUUCCUUGCAACAAUUUCUACUCAAAACCCCGUUCGGUCACAUGUGGAUAAAAAUUAGUUUGUUUGAGAAUUAGUAUACUCCUUGUGAUCGACUCGAGCAUGCCAUUAAGACUAGUGCUUGGUGAAUGGAUUAAGUUAUUUAUUUGACACGAGCUUGCAAGACCAAACUCGUAGUCAGAAGUAUACCUUGGAACCGAUGAACUCUCCAAAACUAUUCACAGCUUUAUGUCGCCAAAGUAAAAAAAUUGUUUUCUACGAAAGACGAUAUUCUCUCAAGCUUUUGUUGAACAAACAAGCAAAACAACAUGUGCAACAACCCUAGCUUAAUUAAUAUGAAAAGUUUUCCUUAGGCUCCUUAGUAUGUAAAAUUUUCCUUAGGCUUAAGUAUCACAACGGAACAAAGAAAAAUAUCCUCCAAACGAAUCGGUUCAUCCCAACAAAUAAACUCUGCAUAACAAUAUAAAUAUGGAAGGAAACACAUUUGACAGAAUCCACAAACAACAAAGCAAUCGCAGAGACAAGGCAACUCUAAAACAAUUUAUGGAACAACCGUAGCAACCCAAGAGUCAAAGUAGGAAAUUUUAAACAAAUAUACUUAAAAAUAUCAAGGAACUAAAAAUCCUAAUAAUUAUGCAGUAAAAAUUUUAAGUUUAAUUAUCGUUACACACUAUAGUUCGUUGGGUUCGCCAUAUUUGUAGAAGAAACUCCCUAGCUAUUUUUGAAAAUAAAUUCUAACAAAACUUGUUUUGAACCUACAUCUUAUCAUAAACCUUCAAAACAGAUAUAGAAUAUAAACAAUCAAUCUAAAUAUGAAAAUUUCAAAAAUCCCAAAAAUAAAAUCGUGCAAGUACGAAAGAUAUUCUCUAUUUUGAUGCUUAAAAUACACAUAAAGUAAAAGAAACCAAACAAAGAAAAUCUUUACUACCCCACUUCCAAAUAAUCAAAUAUAUAUCAUUAAAAUUAAACCAUAUAUAUCAAACAAUCCAUUUCAAACAACUUACUUUGUAAAAAUUUCUCAAAUUUUCAUCCAACCCAAGAUGUAAAAAUUGGAGCUAGUGAAGGGUGUGUGUUAGAGCAUCGAUAUUGAAUCAAUUAUCUUAAUUGGUAAGCUUUUUAUUGAUAGAUAAUUUAACAUGGUGAAGUCCAAGCUGACAUUGAAUACAAAGGGACACUUUUUUAAUAAACUUUCCAAGAUCAGGUCAUCCAAGUAAUCUAAACAUAAUUAGUAUAUAUUUUGAAGUUUCUGUUGUUGAGAAUUGAAAAAUACUUGACAUGAGUAGCAAAAAUUAACCAUCAAUUCUUUUAACUCUUUUUUAUCAUGUUUUUAUAUAUGUUUAGGACCUCUCUCAUUUAAAUACAACAAAUCCCAGUGUUCUAACUCUCUAAACUCCUACAAAAUAAAAAUCAUAUUUUGUUUUUUUAGAUUAAUAUUGAAUUUCAUUCAAAAGAAAGACGAAGAAGGAGUAAAUAUAAUUGAAAUCCAUGAACUGACAUAUAGGGAGAAGAAUCAUAUAAUUAUGCCGGUAGGUGACCCAAAUCUUUACAAUACCUUUCUAAUUAUCAAAAUUUUCUAUAUAUUUUAAAUCAUGCAUCUCAAUAUCUACACACGUCUUUAUAAACUUUUAAUAUGUCAACACAGGUGGCAGCCAUUUCUGUGGUGUAGGAGGUAAAAGUUUAACAUUAUUAUAAUGAAGUUAUAAUCUUCAUAAGUCUCCUUUAUAAAGGAACAGUAAUCUAAUAUAAUUUGGAAAAACUAAUUGAAAUGAUUGAAAAGAUGGAAUUUUCAUAUAUGCAAAUUGGGUUUGGUAUAUGCUAUAUUGAAGAUGCCGCCCGAAUUGAAUAAUGUUUAUUUGAAAACGACAUUUAUAAUUGGAUCAUUUAAUUUUCUUUUGUAUAUGAGAAUGGUCCAGUAGAGACUAGAAUCAUCUAUUCAACUGUGUGAAACUGUAUAUCUCAAACUAGGGUUUUCAAACCCUCUAUAGUACAUUGAUAAAUUUAUAAUUUCGAAAAUAAUAUAACUUCCAUAUUAAUUAAUUUUUGGUGCUCGCCGCCAUAGACUUUGAUGCUUCGCAAAAAGCUUAUAUACUCAGGAAAAGUAAGAAACUAUAAAUAAUAACUGUUCGAGGACAUUUAAUAACUCAACUUUUUGUAUAUGACUUUUUGUUUGGUUUUGUUAUAUGACUUUUCAAAUAUUAUGAAAUUAAACCCAAGUUUUAAUAAAUAAAUAAAUAAAAUAUUUCUCAGAUUUAGCUAAAACUUCAAUUCUUUUACCACGAAAGAUGAAAAUGUUGUAAAUAAACGAUGAGAAUUUUCAUAAAAACCAAAUCCAUAAAUUAACUGUUUUUUUUUAUAUUGAAUUUGUUAUCCAUGGUUAGUCAUUUUAAUUUAUAUUUUUUUCUUCCCAAUUUUUUUCGUUGUUAAUUUCAUCUAAUCUUUUAAGAAAACAUUUAAAUUUUUGGUAGAUUUUCUUUCUUUUUUUUAAAAAAAAGGAAAUUAUAAUCUAAAGAAAACUUAUAUAUGUGAGUAGGAAAGAGAAAAAUGAACAGAACCUAAAUAGUUUUCAAAGUAAGACUUACACUAAAAUUUAUUAUUGUGGAAAUCCUAUUAUUCUUUUUAAUAUUCAUUAAUAUUAGUACUAAUUUCAAAUUUGACGAUAUUUUAUGAAAGAACAAAAAUGUGGCGUUGGAUGAAAGAGUAGGUUCGUCUUUUACUUUUCUUUUUCUCUCUUUUUAAAUGAAGAUGAAAGGAUAGAUUAAUUGACUAUGUGGAAAAGAAAUUAGGUAUUGAAUUAAUUCACAGUAUUUUUCAACCCUAAUUAGUGCAAAGUGAAAGUGAAGUAGAGUGUUGAAUGAGUCUUUUGUGUAGUUUGGUAAAGUAAGAUAGAGAAAGAGCAGAAGAAAUUUACACAAAAAUAAAAUAAAAUAAUAAUAUUAAAUUUGUUUAAAAAAAUAGUGAAAUAAGCUAAAUUCAAAAUUUAGGGACAAAUAGUGAUACUUAUCUAUAUUAUUAUCUAUGAUUCGCACGUGUAUAGCGAUAUUUAUCAUUAAUAGGUCAAAACAUUUUGUUAUAUUUAAAUAUAUAUAUAUAUCUAUAUAUGUAUUAUGGUUUUAGUAUAGUAAAAAAAAAUUAAAAGAAGAAGAAGGGAAUGUGUUGAGUGUAUGAUGGGGUUGGUGUAUUAGAUGCCAAAUGAGUCAAAUCCGUCGUAAUAUAGGUCCAUUUAGUGUUGCGGAAUUUCCGUUUAAUUUACAUUCUUUUGUGUUUAACUUAUGCUUCACCAUUUUGCCAUUUUGCCUAAAUAAAAGUAAAAUAUUGUUGGAAAUUACUUGUUAUACUUAUAAUAUUCGCAAUAUGCUAAAAAGAGGUGUCAUGAACUGUUUUUCUAAAUGUUUUUGUGCAAUUUCCUUUGAUUGUCUGAUUGAAGUUAUGAAAAUUUCAAAAUACAUUAUAGUUGAGUGUAUGUUUGGAUUAUGACUUUAUAAGUGUUUAAAUAAAUAAAUAAAGAUAUAUGACCAAAAUUGAAUAGAUUUUGAGAGUAGAUGUGAUGUUUUACUUUUUGACAAAGGAAAUUUGAACCAAAACUUGUCAAGAAAAAUAGUUGUUUUACUUCCAAUUAAAAUUACUAAUGAUGCGUUUAUCUAUCUGUUGUUUUGAAAUUUUGGAUGCAAUCCUAAUUAAAUUGGGUGGCAAACGUACUCUAAACAAAUAAAUUUAUCAAAGUCUCCAUAGACCACCAGAGUCUUUUUUUUUUUCUUUUUCUAUACAUAAAAAUUUCCCCUUUAUUUAUUUAUAUUAUGUUUUAGAUUAAAAAUUAUUUACUCUUGUAAAAGUUAUAAUUUAAUCCUACAAUUUAGUUUAUAACAAUUUAAUAUGUGUAUUUUUAAUUUUAUAUGAAUUAGUGUAUGAUAGUUCUAAAUUUAUCAGUUAGAUUCAAAAUAAUUAAGUAUAUAACAACACUUAAUUUUUUUUGUAAAUAUAACAAAAUUUGUCAAAUUCUAUCAAUGAUAGGAGUCUAUCACCGAUAGAUUAUAUUGCAAAUAUUGGUCUAUCUUGGUCUAUCACUGAUAAACUCAUACGAGUCUAUCAGCGACACAAGUUUGUCACUUAUAGUUUUGCUAUGUUUGCAAUUGUUUUUAAAUGUUACUACAUCCUUAAUUAUUAUUGCUAAAAUGACUAUCAAUUACAAUUACUUUUUAUUAUGUCACAAUUUAGUUUGGUACCUUUUAAAUUUAUAACAAUUUAUCAAAACGUGAUGAUAUAUGUUUUUCAAUAUUCUUUGACGUAGAUAUAUAAAAUUAUCAAGUACCUAAGUAGUCUAUUAUUUUCUUAGGCAAGAAAGCUCAUUCAAUUUUCGCACUCAAAUUUUUACAGAUUCUAAGAACUAAAAUGUUACGUAAUAAAGUUUAAAAUUAAAUUAUUAUAAAAUUAAAAAUUUAAAUACAAAAUUGUUACAAACUAAAAUUCAAACACUAAAUUGUGAUUUCUAUAGAAGUUUAGAAUCUCAAAGUGUUUUUGAACCAAUUUUUUAUUAUUAUUUUAAUUUUGAAUUUGGAUAACCUAAAAUGGUAAAUUAGAGAUAUCCUUUAAUAGUUAUUGAAAAAAAGUUGGAUAAUAAAACGUAUGUUACUAACAUUUUCUAAAUUUACUAAAAUAACAAAUUUAAAAGUGAUGACCCUCUGAUAACCCUAUGUUUACCGUUUGAUAGUCCUAUGAUUACCGUCUGAUAGCUGUCUGAUAUCACUAAAUUUUUCAUAUUUGCAAUAUGCAAAAAAUUGGUGUCAUUAGUUAUUUGUUCUAAAUGUUUUUUUGUCAUUUGAUGCAAUUUCUGAAUGUACAACUUGAAUUUAAUAUAGCGGUGUUAUGCGAAAUGAAAUGUUUACAUACAAAAUUGUUAUGUUUUAUGUAAAGAUGAUUUUAUAUGUUUUGAUAGGUUUGGCGAAAUGAUGUUUAUAAAAGGUAUUUGCGAAAAAGAUUUAUUAAAACUGCACUAAGUAUGUAUACUUUUCUUUUUUUAAAAAUCAUCUUCUACAAAGCAGACGUUAAAACCAAGUAAGAAAAGUUUGAAGGGCUUGCUAGGGGAGAAGGCCAAGGCGUUUUAGCUUAAGUUUAAAUUUGUUGUUUUUAUGUGUAUGCGUAUGUAACAAAAUUGUAAGGUGUUGGCUUAUUUUUGUUUGUUAAGUUGAUAAUAUUUCCUAAACUAUGAUUUCUUAACAAAAUUGCUUAAUCUAAGCAAAGCUUAAGGACUUCAAGAUGAGUGUUUUGUCAUUGAACGCGUCAAAAUGCUCAAGUCAUGUCGUGUCUCGCAAGACGAUCAAAGACGUCUGUGAGGCAGGGUGUGACACAGUCAUCUAAUGUCAGAAGAUCCAAAAUUUCUUGUAGUAACAACUUCACUCUAAUAAGCGUUUAAGAGAAGCAAUGAUUACGUUGCCCCUUCACAGAGGACGUAUUUGAAUCCAAAUCAUUUAAAUUUAUCUCGGCGAAAAUCACUUCCAAUCCUAAUCUUGAAAAUGAUCAUGAUAUUUGAUAUAAACUAAAGUUGAUUUUAGAAUAUUUUUUCAAAGCAUAUUUUCUUUCAUUAACAUACAAGUAUCAAAUCGAAGUGUGUUUUUUUACGACCGCAAACGGGACAACUGUGGUGAGUUAAUAGAGUAAGAAUAUGUUUGUAUUACCUUUUAAAGUGUUUAAAUUUGAAAAAAAAAUAAUUUAAAUUUUUUUAAAGGCGUUUGAUAACUUUUUAAGAAGCAUUUUUUUAAAAUGAGAUUAAACUAUAAUCUAUUUAAAAAUAAAACACUCAAAAUCAAAAUUUGAGAAAAUAUAUAUGGAAGAUCUAACAAAAAUAUAUAAAGAAAACACUAACUACAACAAUAUCUAACCAAAUAUGUAAGUGUUUAAAUUUUAAACUCGAGAGUGUUUAAAAGAAAAUGUAUUAUUAAAAAACAAUUUUUUUUCCAAAUAAUCAAACGCACUCUAAACUUAAACAAUGAAGCUUCUCUCGAGGGGGAGAAGAGUAAUUGUGAUAGCUAAUGAUUUAUGGCAACUUUCAACAAUGAAUUCAAAGAAAUAGACAAGACGAAUUUAUGAAAUUUUCUUUGAGUUCUUUUUAUGUCAAAUAUUGUUGAACUCUUUUAUCAGAUGUCAAUAAAUGAAGUGCAUAAGGCAAAAACAUCGUAGGAGCAUGCAAAGAGAUUUACCAAAUUUAAAGAAAGAAGAUGACUUAUUGAGAAAGUAUGUGGUACGUAUAUUGAAAGAAAUACUUUGUUUUCUUUAGUUGGUUAUUAAAUAAACUUGAUCUUUUUUUUCCAUUUCUAAAUAUUUUAUCUUAAUGUUUUCCUAAGGUGAGGACAGAUGGAUCACUUUCUUUCUUUGAUGGGGAAGAAAAUCAUAAUGUGAAGCUUAUUCAUAAUAUUUUUGUUGACCUACUCAUUUUAUAACUUCCAUCUUGGAUAUUGUGUCAGGUAUUUCAUUUUUCUUAUGACAAUCUUGGAUAUUAUCAGUUUACCUGUUACAUAAGUUGUAUCUAUUUUAAUCUCAUUUUGCAAUAUGUAUAUAGAUUGUUCAAUAGUCAACGAAUUAAUAUGGAUUUUAUUUAAGUUUUGUGUAUGCUGGAAAGUACACAAAUUCCAACUACAAAACUACUAGAUGUAGGCUUUUGGAACUUCAGCUGAUAAACUUAGAGAUUAUAUCUCCCUUUUGCACUAUUUUCUUGUGGUUCAUCAAAGGUAUUUUGUUCUUAGUGUUCUUUUGUUCCUCCUUUGAUUUAAAAUAUCCAUGGAUCGGAUAACAAAUUUGAUAUCAACAAAAACAAUCUUUUGAAAAAUUUGAUACCAAUAUUUUCUUGUGAAGCUUCUUCAUGAUAUUUUGUUGUUGUAGCAAUGAAAUCUUCUUAAUGGUAUUUUGUUGUGAGACGAUUUUAAUGGAACGCAUAACAAUAGGCAGUCCGGUCAAAUUUUACGUUAUUUGAAAUGAAUAGUUGGUAUGAGAUUGGCUUGUGUUUACUCAUUUAAUGCUAUGUUUAUGAAAAAUAAUGUAGGGAGUAAGAGAGGUUUUGGCGAUGUUGAAGAUGAUGAGGACGACUUCUUUAGCUCCAAAAUUUUCUAGUUUUUGUUUUGAGAACAACUGAUUUGCUAGUUUAAUCCUCACAAAUGGAUUUCUUCAUUUGAAUGAGGUGAUUUUUCACCUGGAGUUUUUCCAUGAAAGGUAAGAUUUUUUGGUUGAGGUAUUGAAAAAUUGUUUUUUAAGAGAUUUGAUCUUGCGUAAUUGUUUAUCUUUCUACCGUAUUAAAAGAGAAUGUAAAUAAACUAUAAAGGGCAUAUAAAUAGCUCUUUUUUGUUUGGUGUAUAUGGCUGAACUUAUGAAUAAGAGCAAGUUGAAAUCAUAGUUUUGAUAGAAAAUAUAUGGAUUGUUUGGUACAAAGAUGCAUUGAUCAAUGAGUUUAUAAUAUUUGUCAGAUUUUUGAAUGUUUGAGUUGAGUUGACUCAUAUUCUAUUGUUGUUUAUUUUUCUAAAAGGUAUUGCUCGAGUGCCAAACGUAUAUUUAGUGAAACUCAAUGAAAAAACCUUUUGCUGUGGAGCUUAAUCUUCGAGAUACUUAUUCUGUUUAAUUUUGUUGGUUGUUUCGAAUAUUAAUAAUUGUUUGAAGAACCAUUUUCAUGACCUUGAAAAUGUCAUGAUCUUGGACUAUACUUGACUAAUCGAUUUAGUUUCAAACAUACGUUUUUAUCUUUUAUUUGAAUUAUAUGAUAGUGUUUAGAAACAUAUUUAUUUUACAUUUUUUUUAAAAGUUGCCCUGUUAAAAUUUUAAAGAUUAAAUGAUUGAUUUAGAUAUUGUUUGUAGAAUGAUUGAUGUCAUAUCAGAUUAAAAGCUAAGCGAUUGUGUAGAUAGUCAAGUGAUCGUUGAAGGUUGAAAACUAAUGACUGAGAAGACGAUUAAGAUUUCUUAUUUAAGUCUUGUAUUAGGAUAUUGUUUCAUGUAUUAUUGUAGAAUGUAUAUAUAAACACAAUACUAAGAUUUCAUUUUGUACAAACCUAUGUAAAACAUAAAUAUUAUAGUUUAUAAAAUAAUAUUUUCACUAUUUGGUGAAUUAAAAAAAUGGAUAAUAAUGCAACAAGUUAAUACAAAUAAAUUUGUAAAAAUAGAUCAAGAAACAAGACUUAAAACGAUUUUGUUGGGCUCUUUAAUGUCAGUUUAAAACCGACAUUAAAGGCUAACUGAGAUUAAAGACCUUGGCUUCAAUAACACCAUCAAAGAUGUCGGUUUAAAACUGAUAUAAAAAGACCUUUAAUGUCGUUUCUAAAUCGACAUUAAAAGAACGUUAAUAAAGCUAGCAAAGAUGUUGGUUGCCAACCAACAUUAAAUACCUUUAGUGUCGAUUUUAAAUCGACAUUAAAGACCAAAUUUCUUCUAAUGAAUUGUUUAUAUAAAUUGAAAAAAAAAUAGAUAUCCAUAAACUUCUACUAACAUCUAUCAAUAAUAUACUUGAUUCAGUUCUAUCAAUGAUAGUAUGAAAGAUAAACUUUGAUUUAGUUUUCUACUAAUAAUAGUAUCAAUUUAUAUAUGAUUCUAGUAUUAACAGUAUAAAUGAAAUAUUUGAUACCAUUUCUAAGAAAACUUAUAUACUUUUAUCCGUAGACAUGUUGAAGAUUUUGUCUCAAAUAAAUAAUCUGGCUCCUUUUUCUAAAUUAAAAAAAAAAAAAGUCAUCAGUUCAAAUUUAUGAAUUACAUUAAAAAGAAGUCAAAUCAUAUAUAUUAAAGAAAAAGUCUAACAAUUAGUUACAUUGAUAUUGUUGAAAAUUGUACGUAGUAAAUACAUUUUGAAUACACGUAGAUGAAAAAAAAAUUUAGAAAAACAUAGUUAAUGAUAUCUUUUUUUUUCUUUUUCAUAUGGUAAAUUUACUAAAUAAGAUAAAUAAUUAAUGAUUUCAGGGAGUCAUAUAAGAUAGUUAUCAGAGAUUAUCAGCUUUUAAAUUUUAUAAUUUUACAAUUUAGAAAAUAGAGUGACAUGAGUCAUAUUAUCUUUUUUUCUUCUUUUUUUGCUAUUUUUAUAAAUGCCCCUAAAACAAAGUCAUUUAAAUAUGAUAUAAGAUACUUUUCAUUAGGUAAAAUUGACAUAUAUUGUGAGGGGUCAUUUUUAAAGAUAACAAAGUAAAUUAAAAUAUUUACAAACUAUAGCAAAAUGUUUGGAUUCUAUCCAUUAUAGAAAUUAAUAGACUUCUACCUCUCUCUCUCUAUUAAUGUCAAUGAUAGAGAGGAUAUUCAAAUGUUUGUUAUUAAUAGAAUUUAAAAUUUUACUAGUAAACUUUAAUUCAUUUUAUUCCCUGCGGAAAUAUUGAAGAGUCAAGUUAAGCAUAAAUAUAUCUUGACAUUAGUAUUAAAUUUGAAAAUAUAUAACAUCAUCUAAAAAAUUUGAAGGUACACAUGCAUUAUAUAAUAUACAACAAAUGCAAUCGUUUACUAGUAUUAUUUACAAAUAUAAUACAAGGAAUUCCCGAUAAAUGUAUUCAAUAUUGAUUCUUAAAUUACAUUAUACAUGAUUUUUUUGUUCAAAUUUCCACUGCUAAAAAAGUCUUCAAAUUCCUUAGAAUGGAGGAGGUGGCGAUUUGGGGACGGGGCACUUCGGCCAAGGAUCCUUAUUUGGCUUUGCAUCUUUAUUUCCAUUUCUUGGAGCUUCACUGCACUUAUCUUUACGUUCACCAUUUACACGCCGGGGGGAUUUCGCCGGAUACUCCUCCGCCGCUGGCGACGGUGGAAGAGAGCUGUGGUCGUUAUGGAACAAGAGUGGGCGUGGCAGUGGAGGAGGGUAAGGAAUCCCGUAGCUUGGGGCGGCGGUGGCGGCUAUCGACAGUGAGCUCGGAGAGAAGGAUGCCACUGCCAACAAAAUUGCAAGAAAUAGAUAAGCCAAUGGUGGCGCCAUGGAGUGUGGGUUUUUGGUUUUUGUUUGAACCAAAUCUCUAUUCGUAUCAUUAAAUAGAACUAUCAAUUGGGACAUCUUAGGUAGCGAUUUCAUUUUUAAAAAUUAAACGUAUUCUUCCUAUUUUUUACAAUAAUUUACCUCUUUAUCAAGUAAAAGGAUUGAAUUCAUAAUAAAUUGGACCGUCGAGAUUUGAACCACAAAUCUGAGCAACCCUUUUAUUAGUAAUUUGAUUGAUAGUGUUAAUAAAUAUUAUUAAAGUAAACUAGUUUUUUCUUUCCAAAUAAAAGUGGACUAAUUUCAUAUAUAUAUUGUUGAUAUAUAUGGGUGUGUGUGGGUUAAUAAAUGAGAAAUGAUUGUAAAUAUAGAACUAUUCAAACCAUCUAUAAAUUAUGAAAAAUUUAGUCACGUUAAUUUUAAAAUGUUGCUAUAUUUCAUAAAUAUUUAGUUUUUUUAAGGAGCAGUUAUGUAGAGUCGUAGAUGCAUCACUAUUUCAUCACUUAUGUCAAACAAAUAAUUAAAAUAUUUCAUAAAGUUUCCUUGGACAAUUUAGUGGAAUACACGAUGGAUGCACUAAUUCAAUCUAAGUAUAUUUUUGAGAAAUUGCAUGAUAUGACCAAAAUACUUAAAAAAAAACAGCUCAUAAUACCUCCUUCUUGCAUAUUGUGAAUAUGACAAAUAAUUAAUGAUAUCAAAGGUUAUCAGACAGCUAUCAGAGGGCUAUGAUCAGAAGCUAUUAGAGAGUUAUUGAUUUUAAAUUUGUUACUUUUGCAAUUUAGAAAAUAUAGUGACAUGAGCCAUAUUUAUUAUAAAUAUUUUUGCUAUUUUUGCAAGUAUUUCCAUAUUUUUUUUAAAAGAAAAAUUAUUAGUUUUUCUUACUUGUCUAACACAUUGACAUGUGGUUUUCUGACAUGUGGUUUUCUUGGCCUCCAAGUUUUUUGAAGAAACAUUCUGGUCUCCAAGUAUAAUAUACAGGGAUAUUUAUUUAAAUCUUAAGGUCAAUGGAAAUAAUUAAUUAGAGAAAAAGUAUAAUUGAAUAUUAUGUAUGUACGAGUCAAUUGACUUGAGAAUUACUCAACAUAGUUCUCUAAACAAAACCAAAAGUUUGUUUGAGUCUUUUCUAAUUUGGUAACUAAACGAUUAUUAUUAUUAAAAAGAAAACUAGAAACUGGGAUUCGUAUUAGUAGAACAUUACCAUACCCUCAUUCAGAUGAUGCAUUCAAACAAAAUAAGAAUUAUAUACAUAGAGAGGUAGAGAGCAGUUCGAACGAGAAUACAGGGACUACAGAAAAGCCUUUCUGGUUAAGAGAGAUGGAAAAUAUACACAUGCAUCAUAGUUACAACACGCAAAUUAAAUUUAGAACUCAACAUAUCAGCAGACAUCAUUCAGUAUCAUAGCUAGAGAAUUUGCACACAAAUAUUAAUACAGUCAAUGGAGGAUUGUUGGUCAACGCAAAUAAUGGAUCGGGGUGCUUUCUUGUUUAGAACAUUCAUAGAGGACCAAUUGUGGAACCAAUAAAAUAAAAUGUACGUCUUUUCGCCACUGUUGAGAUGCCAAGCAGUAUGUUCAAGAAUAUAUUAUUGGCUUGAAGUUUGGCAAUGUGAAACCAUGUGGAUUUUGAGCUAUUGUGUUGCCAAACGAUUGGGAUGGAGAGAGGACAAAUGGGUGCAUAUUUGGAGUCCAUGGAUCACCGGCAUCCACAUGCUGUUCUUUCUAUUCAAGUAUCUUUAAAUCUAUUUACCAAGCAGAUCAAUAUCUUUUAGAUGCCAAACCUUCUUUCGUCCCUCUCCCUGUAGUAAGUAAAACUUUAUUUUAACUUUCAUAGCAGAUAUUAUUUAAGAGAAUUUAAUAAACUAUAGAAACUAUACAUGAGGUUAUAUCAAUUUCUAUAGAACUAAAUUCUAAAUCUUAAAAUUAAAUAGAUUAAUUUUUAAAUUUAUCCAAACCAUUACGACUAAACUUAGAUUUUAAUUGAAUUGAAGUUAUACACUACAAUCAAAAUGGUCUACAACGACAUUAUAAUAUGUAUUUUUAAAAUUUACAAAUUGGAUUAACUUUGUAACAUGACAUACUAUAUUUUUAGAAAUGAGUCUUUUUAAAAAUAUAACAAAAAGAUAAAAUAUUUACACGAUAUAAAACAAUUUAAAAAACGGCCGAAAAAGUUUGUAAUGAAAAAUAUAGAAAAUAUCCCGUGAUUAAUUACAUCUAACGCGUCAUAUAUUUGAAAAAUAAUCAUUUAGAUUUUACUAUUAUUUCUUACACGAUCGUUUAGAUUUCUAAACAAUGUUUUUUUUCAAUGUUUUUUGGUACACGAUCAUUUAAGUUUGAUCAUUAAAAUUUGGGUUGACAAAUCUAAACCAUUUUUUUCAUAAUUUUUUUUGGUACCAGAUCGUUUUGAUUUGAUCGUUUAAAUUUGGGUAGCCAAAUAUCAAAGAUUUUUUUUUUUUUUUUUUUUUUUGUAAAUGAUCAUUUAGAUUUGGUACAUGAUUGUUUAUAUUUUGAAUACAAUAGUUUAGAUUUGAUCGUUUAAAUUUGUCUACCCAAAUAUCAACGAUUUUGUUCAAGAUUUUUUGGUACACGAUCGUUUAUAUUUGGACCACGGUCGGUUAUAUUUUCCGUUUAGAUUUGAUAUAUAGUUGGAAGACUAUCAUUUCAAUUUUCCUACCCAAAUCUAAAUAAUUUUUUAAAAUUCUUUGUACAUGAUCGUUUACAUUUGACUAUUUUGGUACACGAUUGUUUAGAUUUGGCUAUCCAGUAUCUAAUAAUGUUUUUUCAUGAUCAUUUAUAUUUGCAAUAACCAAAUAACCGUUUAAAAAAAUUUUUAAAUAAGAUAUUUUAUAUUUGAUACAUGACCUUGAACCAAAUAACUGUUUGAAAAAAUAAUAAAAGAAAAAUGACAAAAAAAGAAGAGAAAAAGACGAUGGAAAGAAAAAAUUCAUAGAAGAGGAAGAGAUGAAAAACGAUGAAAAUAAAUGACAAACCUGAAAUAUUUUUAAAAAAUGGUCAGUUUCAUGGACUUUUUCAUUUUGUUACACAUGUUGUAAAUAUUUUGCCGGUUUAUUAUAUUUAUAAAACAAUUAACCUUUUUACAAUGUUUUUAUCUUUAUUUAAUAUAAUUAUGCAUUUUAAAACUUAAAGUUGAAAUUUUGGAUACAAAAAAAAUAGAGGUCAUUUGAAAAAUAGAACAAAGCGGCAAAAUAUUUAAAUCUUAUAGGACAAUUUCGGAAAUUGAAAAAGCCCACCGGUCCACAAUGGAAAAUUUCAAAAUGUCCAUGCGAUUAAUUUGCAUCUAGCGCGCAUAAUAUAUUUGAGAAACGAUCAUUUAGAUUUGACUAAUCUUUCCUAUACGAUCGUUUAGAUUUUGGUAGCGAAAUCUAAACUAUGUUUUUCAAGAUUUUUUUGGUACGUGAUCGUUUAGAUUUUUCAUGAUCAUUUAUUUAAUCGUUUAAAUUUUGGUAGCCAAAUCUAAACGAUUUUAUUGAAUAACUUUUUGACGCGAUCAUUUAUAUUUGGCACACAAUCGUUUACGUUUGACAUAUGAUCGUUUACAUUUGAUCAUUUAAAUUAGGGUAGCUAAAUCUCAACGAUUUUUUCUCAAGAAUUUUUGGUACAUUAUCGUUUAGAUUUGGAACAUGAUCAUUUAGAUUUGACUAUUUUUGUACACGAUCGUUUACAUUUGACAAUCCAAUAUUCCAACGAUUUUUUUUCAUGAUGUUUUAUGUUUGACACACGAUCUUGAACCAAAUAACAGUUUGAAAAAAAAUAAAAAAUUUAUCAAAGAAAGAAAAAGAUGAUGAAAAUGAAAAGAAAUAAAAAUUACAUAAGAAGAGAAAAAAACGAUGGAAAAGAAAAGAAAAAUUGGAGGAAAAAGAAUAUGAAAAGAAAGAGCAAAUGGAAAUACUUUAAAAAAAUUGUAGAAGAAGAGAAAAAGACACAGAAAACAAAUAUCGCAGAAAAAGAAAAGAAAAAAUGUGAGAAGAGGAAAAGAAAAAAGAUCAUAGAACAUAAGAGAAGAAAGAUGAUGAUAAGAAAUGACAAACCUAUAGUUUUUUUAAAAAAUGGUAAAUUUGAUGGACUUUUUAAUUUGUUUUAUACGUCGUAAAUAUUUUAGCUGUUUGUUCUAUUUAUGGAAGUUAACCAAGAAAAUAUGUGUUUUUAAUAAUUCAUAUAAUCCGACAACAAUUUUCUGAAAAAUAGAAUUUUAGUUGUAUCUUAAACAUAUAUUUGCUGAAGUCAAUAAAUAUGAAAAAUAAAAUGAACAUUUUUAAAAAUAGUAAAAUAAAUUAAAAUAUUUACAACUUAUAACAAAUUAAAAUUUUGGAUUUUAUCAAUAAUAAUAGAAACUUGAUAGACUUCUAUCGUUGUGUAUCAAUGUAAUUUAUAGUCAAUAUUUAUUACUGAUAGAAUUUGAAAUUUAUAAAAAUAUAUUGUUUGAGUUCAGACUUGGAACUACAUCAAGUUCUACUACAAUAGUAGAGAUUAUAAAAGGCUACAAAUCCCCAUCAAAUAACCAACACAAACUAUUUGCUUUCAAGUAGUGCUACAACUUGAUAGCAUGAAAGUAACAAUAAUUCAAAACUCUCAAAACUUGAGAGAGAGAAAAAACCACACGUUAUUUUCCUUAUAUUUUGUUUUCGGCACAUCGUGCUUCAACCAACGAAACUGAUAUACAAAUGUAAAUAGGGCUUUCUCAAUAUAUAAUCUAUUUAAAAAAAAUGACACGUUUAAUGAAGGACACAAGGUUAAGCAUGAUGUCCCUUACAAAAUAUAUGAUAAGAGAUCUAUUACGAAAACAAGAAGAAAAAAUAAUGACAUCAAGAUUGAUAACUCAGUUCAGUGCAAAAUCACCUACAUCUUGGGGUAGUGUGUCCAGUGGAACGAAACUUCACUAUAUAAAAAGUUUAGCAAUUACAGCGAAACUAUUUUAUCUGACAUACACCUUUUUCUUAGUGACUCUCGUAUAGCUUGCUCUUCAACAUUUCAGCUUAGGCUCCCCGUAAGUUUGAGCUCUCAACCUCUCACUUCCACAAAAAUCAUUCUUCAAGCUUAGUAUGAGAUCCCUUCGAUACAAUAUGUUAGGGUCCCUUUGAGAGUGAGAUCCCUCAUAUUCUCUAUAUUCAGACUCCCCUUUAAAUACAAUAUCAAUAUCGAACUCCUCUUAAGUUCUAUAAAGACUACAGAACUAAAAGUCUCAACAGGACAAGUGUAUAAAGAUUUUCAAUACCAAUACAUGAAGAUUGAGGCUUAGACAAACCAUAAGCUCAAAAUGUUCAAUGCACAAAGUUUUCUAAAUAUCGAACUGAUUCUCUUAAGUUCUACAAUGUUCAUAUUUAUAGCAGAUGACGCUUUUGUAAGUUUAUGAAAACUUUUUGUUUUACUUUCAAUUUUAGUUUUAUGUUUGAUCAUCUCUCAAACUUACAAGCUUCUAUUGUGCAUAAUCAAAUGUUGGAACUUCAGUCUCAGCUGUCCCAGAGGGUUCUCAACCACUAUUUGAGGAUAAGAUAUGCGAGACUGUUUUGAGUAGAUGAUCGGGCUACUAAAAAAGUCUUGGUUAGGGCUCAAAACACAAGUCCAAGAAUAGCUCUGUUUCUGCUUCUUCCUCCAAUAUUUAUGUCUACAAGGCACACAUGGCAGAGGUUAGCGAACUAAAGGCAAGCCUUGAAAAUGCUAACCACAUGAUUGAAGAGCAGCACCUGAGGGAGGAGGAGCGAGACCGACAAAUAGCAUACCAUGCACGACAAAUGGAGCGGAUGAAGCAAAUGAUCGAGGAGAUGAGUCGGACACAAAAAGGACCGUGAACACUUGGGGUACGUACUUUAAUUUCAAUAUUUAAUUUGUUUAAUUUUGUAUAUGUGAUGUUCUAACUCUACUUUUAUGUCAUUUAUAGGUUUAGCGUCCAUGACUAGAGCAUAGUAGAUAGGUGUAGGAUUUUUUUAAUGUUCGUGUAAUUGUUUUAUAUUAUAUGUAAUUUUUUGUAUUGAACAUCUUUCGUGUACCUUGUUUAUUAUAAAUUGAAAUAUUAUAAUUUUCAUAAUUUACCACAAUUUUUUUUUAUUGUCUUGCGAAGCGAAACCGAAAACAAUAAUUACAAAAAGAAAAAAAAAUUAAUAGUUAAAUAACUAACAAAAUAAUUUUAAAAAUUAAAAUGUACUCCGACGUAUAUCACAUGUCAGGGAAAGAGACAAACCUGACGUUGAGCAUUGACGUUGAGAAAGCCUUUUUUCGACAUGUUGUCAGCACGUCGGGGAUAAGGAUUUUUUUUACAUCGCUCAGUGAACGUGACACUGACGUUGACGUGUCAUGCAUUAGGGAAAGUGUCCCCGACGUCAAUGUCGACGUCGCGUCUGAUGUCGAAAAUACCUUCUCUGACGCAGAAUGUGUUUUUGUCGACGUUUUUUGCGUCGCGAAAGAUCUUGAUUCUUGUAGUGUAACACAUUUUACUUAUCAGUAUUGUGUGGGUAGUUGACAUUGUCUAACAGACAUAUAUCUUAAUUCAUUGCUCGUUUUUUAGUUGUUUAGCAUAAGAAAACUAUCCAUGCUUCUUUAUUAAAUAAAAUAAUUACAACGAGAGAAAUAAAUCUUAGAAUAUAAAAAAAAAAAGGAGAGAUAAAUAAAUAAAUAAAUAUAUAUAUAUAUAUAUAUAUAUAUAUAUAUAUAUAUUAAACAAAAUAUAAUCACAAAAGAAACACUUGCUAUUUUUUCAAAUAUGUCAAUUUUCUUUCCAAAUUAUACCACAUCCGAAUUUGUCAUGUUGGACAAUCCAAAUAUAUUAUAAUCUGAUAUGCAAAAUUUACUUUCACAUUUUUUCUCUUUUUCCUCUAGAGCUUUUCUUUUAUGAUCAUCCUUUCAUAUGGUUCUUUAAUUUUGAACAUUAGAUGAUGACAACAACCAACCAUAAAAAAUAAUUAUUUUUUCCUUCAAUGCGCUCACAACCUUGAUCAUGGACCAUUGUCAAAUUACAACAUCCACCUCAGGAAAUUUGAUUGUUUUGAUUGGUGAAGAUUCGUAAUUCUUCAUCUACCAUUAUUAAAAUUUACAACAUUCACUUUAGAAAAUCUAGGUUCUUUACUUGACUGAUAUUAUAUUCAUAAUUUCUCAAUCAAUAACUUGUUAUUUCAUUCAUCAAUGUGAACACAUUAGAUAAAUAGUGCAUAAUAGUUUUGAAAAUAUUUCUCUCAAUAUUGCUACUACAAGAGCAUAUCUGAUACAUAGAAAAUCUCUCUAAAAUAUUGAUUUAAAAUUUUGGAGCCUUAAGUACAUCCCUUUAUAACGAGCUUUAGAAAGAAUAAUUGUUUUUUUUUUUUAUGUUCAUAUUUUUAAUGGCAUCUCGACGUAUUUUGGUAUUAAGUAUUCAUGAUAAAAAAAAUUAUUACUAUUAGUAUCAAAUAGUAGAAAUUUUAAUUUUUUAUUUAUUUUCAAGGUAACACUAUUAUAAAAUAAUAUUGUAUUUAUAUUAGAAUUUUAAUGCAUACUAAAAAGAAAAAUAAUAUUUAUUAAUUAUAACGUGUAGGAAAAAUACGGCAUACCUUUAGGACCUAACUUUAGUAGAAAAAAUUAUAAGAGCUCUUGCCGAUAAUGUGUUGUAAAAAUGUGGCACAACAACAAUAAGAAAAUCUAAAAAAAUAUAAUUUUAGAGGAAAUAAAAUAAAAAAUUUAAGAAAAAAGUUCAAAUUCCGUAAAAGUCCCACUAAUAUAUUCCACUUCCUCCCAAUUUUUUUGGAAAUUUCAUCCAUAUUUGUCUAACAAAAUCCAUCAAAUGCCAUUAUUUAUUGGCCAUUUAACAAAACAUGAGAUGGAUUAAAUGACCACUGAGAAUUAAUAUCUUCAAAACAUAUGCCAAAAAAAUUUGAUGCGGAGAACACUGACACUUGACUAUGGACAUCUAUUUUAAUUAUAUUUGUAAUAGUACAAAUAUUUUAAACUAUAGAGUGCACAAACAAAUAUUCCGAAUAAAACAAUUACAAGUUUGAAUCGUUCAAUCCUCCAAACUAUUAACCUAUCAAUAACGUAAGUUGUUAUUAUCUUAUUAAAGAAAUAUGUAUGUAUAACUAAAUGAAGGGAAAUGGUCAAUUAAUUAAACAUCUCUUUCUUAGUAUUUUUCAUAUAAAAUUAUUCUCUCUCACACACUUGCAUUUGUCUCCAACUAAUUAAUCUCUCUGUCAUCCUCUUUGGCCCUUUUUUUAGUAUAAAACUAAAAGUAAUUAUAUACAUUAAAAUAUAGAUAAUUUACGAAAAAAUCAAAAAAUAUUUACGGCAGGUAAGAAAAAAACAAGUCUAUGAAGCUACUAAAAUAUAUUUUCAUAAUUUUCACAUCUGUCUGUUUUGUCAAUUUCUUUUGAUCUUCUUGUUCCUUCACUGUGAUUUCUUCUUUUUCAGAUUUUUUCAUCACUUCUUCCAAAUUUUACUUCUUCUAUUUUUAAAUAAUUUUUUCUUCGAUUUAAAUCUUCAAUUUCUUCUACAUCAUAACAUAUCAUUAAGGAGUUUAGUGAAGCCUUCAGUCAAAAUAAAAUGAUAUUGGCUCCAUGGUGUAAUGAAGAGGUAUCUUCAGUGUUUCUUGCCAUUUUGAUUCUAGUUAUGUUGUUUAUAAUGGACUGUCUACUUUUCUAACUUAUCGUGAGCCCAACAUAAUUUUAUUUGAUUUUUGAAGAGUUGAUUAUAACUAAAUCUUUUUUCCCCAAGUUCUCAAUACAUUUUCAUAUGCUGAAAUCUAUUUUGUUUUGUGGAGCUUGUUGUCUUCGCUAGGAAGACUUUGCCGCUCGUCUUGGCUGCUGCAACUUCAUAUAAUAUUUCCAUAUUUUGAAUUGUCAUGAUCACUGGCAUUAGUUAAUGCAUUUUCAACUUCAUUUUUUAGUGGCAUAACCAAUAUAGAUAUUUGAUAAAAUGUUGGUAUGUGAACCUAUUUUAAUUGAGAUUGUUGUAUUUUUGUUUAAGUUCUAGAAUCUAAGUUUGUUGUUGAAGCCAAGUUCAUAACAAGGUCAUUGAGUUUCAAACUUCUUUAAUCAUAUGUUUGUGUUUCUUAAACUAUAAUUGUAGUCUUGUAAUUUUUGGAAUAACAAUAGUUUGAUUGGAUUGUAGUCUUAUUUGAUUGGUAUAUUAUUGAGAUUAGAUUUAUUAUAGCUAGAUAUUUUUUUAGAUAAGUUACUUAAUUAGGAUGUUGAGUUGAAUUUGUUGCCAAUCUGAUGAAAUUAUUUAUAUUGUUUUUGUCAAUGACUUGAAAUAUUCAUAUAUAUAUAUAUAUAUAUAUAUAUAGUUUUGGAAAUGAUUAUAUACAUAUAUGGUGAAAGGUUAUAUUUAUAUAUGUUCAAGUUUUGAAACUAUAUUUGAUGAAUAUCGUCGUUCAUAUAUAUUUAUAAAACUGUUGGACCACUAUACAGGACAAUAGGAGCACAAUAAAAUAAAAUAUAAUAGAAUUAUAUAUUUUUAAAAAAAAAUUGAAACAAGCUUGAUAGUUUUUAAAUCAUAAAAAUAAUACAUUCUUGACGGUUUUAAAAUAUCAUAAACAAAUGCAUUUUUGACGGGUUUUCAAUGUCAUAAACAAUCAAUUGCUUGACGAUUUUUCAAUGUCAUGAACACUCGUACUCUUGAUAGUUUUUAAAAGUCAUAAACACUUAUAUUCUUAACAGAUUUUAAAUGUCAUGAACACUCAUAUUCUUGACGGUUUUUAGCUGUCAUGAAAAUUUGUAUACUUAAUGUUUAUAAAACGUCAACGUUCACUACUCUUGACGUUUUUAUCAAUCAUCAAGAACUUCGACUUUCUUGAUGUUGACUUCAGUAACGGUUUUAAAACCAUCAAGAAUAAUAAUUUUUACACUUUAAAAACGUCACGAUAGUCUAUUUUUGUAGCAGUGAUAAUAACCAAAAACAUUUAUUGAAAAUUUCAUAUUAAAAAAAAAUCAAGAAACACAAAUUCUUUAUAAAAUAGAUUUGUUACAUAUUUCAUAAUGAAUUGAUUGUGAGAUUGAACCCAUGCUAUCUAAUAUCAAAGCUCACAAAAUCUAAAAAGCAUAUUUAGUACAAUAAAAAUAAAUUUGAGAAUAUGAGAUUGGUGAAUCAUGAUAGGCAACAUCUUGAUGGAGUAUGUUGAGAAUUUGACGCAAGGUAAAAACCAAGGAACUCAUAGCAUGUAUAAGAUAGACGGACUAAUCUUUUUAUUACCAAUUUGUUGUGAAAUGAAUCAUACUAUCAACUGAGCUUGUAAACAGAGGCCUAGAAUGGAGGUGGUGGAAAUGCAGGCAUGGGGCACCUUGGCCAAGGUUUUUGACUAGACACUGGAUCUUUAAAUUGUUUUUCAGGUUCUUUGAGGCAGUUGUAUUUACGCUCAGGAUUUAUAUGGCGGAGUAGUUUUCGGGAAGAUCUGUUCGACCAUGACCAUGGUGAGGGAGAGACAUGGUGACUGAAGAAGAGGAUUAUUGGAUGAUGAAGCGGCAGCAAAGGAGAAGAAGAGAGAAGGUAGUCGUAACGUUCGUCGGCGGAGGCUCUCCAAGGUGAGGUUGGAGAAAUUACAGCCACGACCAAAAUGGCAAAAACGAAGUGUGCUGCCAUCGGAAGUUUUUGUUAAGUGUUUUCUGACUCUGAAUUAAAUAGCAUUUGGUUUUAAUACCUGGCAAAAUUGUUUUUGUUUUUUCAUGCUAUAUUCUUUCAGAUGUGAUUGACAUUAAAUUAUGAGUUUACUAUUUGAUUGACACAUUUAAAUGGGGUCUUUUAAAAAACAUAUAAUAGAACGACCAAAUAUUUAACAAUUUCGAAAACAAAAUGAAGUUACAAGUCUACGAUGAAAAAUACUAAAAAUGUUUCGUGAUAAUUAAUUGACAUCCAAACUAUUAUUUCUUACACGAUAGCUUAUAUUUGAUCGUUUAGAUUUGGUUUCCCUUUGGUACAGGAUCAUCGUUUAAAUUUGGGUGGUCAAAUCUAAACGAUGUUUCAAAACUUUUUUGGUACACAAUCAUUUAUACACUAUCGUUUAAUUUGAUGGGUACCCAAUGAUUUUUUUUUUUCAAACUUUUUUUGGUACACAAUCGUUUAUAUUUGGUACACGAUCGUUCAGAUUUUAUCGAUAAGAGUUGGGUAGCCUAAUCUCAACAAAUAUUUUCAAGAUUUUUUUGGUACGAUCGUUUAGAUUUGGAAUACUGGAACACAUUCGUAAAGAUUUUUUAAGAUUAUUUGUUAUGAUGGUUUAGAUUUGGCUAUCUAAUAUCCCAAACAAUCUUUUUCAAGAUAUUUUAUAUUUGGUAUAGGAUGUUAAAGAACCAAACAAUAAUUUGAAAAAUAUAAAUAUUUUAUAAUUAAUACACAAUCUUGAACCAAACAACCGUUUAGAAAAAAUAAAAGAAAAAGAAAAAAAGACGAUGGAAGAAAAAAAUUGUAGCAGAGAAAGAGAAGAAAG
rnacentral:lncRNA from 1 species